GAUGAACGCUGGCGGCGUGCCUAAUACAUGCAAGUCGAGCGAAGCGGGGACGGGUGAGUAACCCGUGGAUAACCUCCUAUAAGACUGGGAUAACUUCGGGAAACCGGAGCUAAACCGGAUAUUUUUAAUUGGUUCCCCCCUGCAUUAGCUAGUUGGUAAGGUAACGGCUUACCAAGGCAACGAUGCAUAGCCGACCUGAGAGGGUGAUCGGCCACACUGGAACUGAGACACGGUCCAGACGCCUACGGGAGGCAGCAGUAGGGAAUCUUCCGCAAGGGGCGAAAGCCUGACGGAGCAACGCCGCGUGAGUGAUGAAGGUCUUCGGAUCGUAAAACUCUGUUAUUAGGGAAGCGGUACCUAAUCAGAAAGCCACGGCUAACUACGUGCCAGCAGCCGCGGUAAUUC
rnacentral:rRNA from 1 species